CAUAAAAUAGUUUAAGUUAAAAUGUUAAUUUUGGAGAUUAAUGAUAAAGUGUUUACUUUUUUUUUGA
rnacentral:tRNA from 1 species